GUUGCCUUGGCUGCAGCGCAGGGUGACGCUAGAGGAGGUUUGACUGGGGUUUAGCGGCAGAGCGUUUCACUCAAGUCCCUCAGGACAAGGGACAAGGCAACAGCGGGGUUGAAAAGUGUCACCUGGGAAGACCUACGUUGUGGCAGCUCCACUAUCACACCUCACAGCUGCUAGAGAGACCGGAGUGCAGAUGCCUCCCAGGCGGCACGUUGAUAUAAAUCUGCUGAAGUGUGAACUUUCACCUCUCUCUCCUUUGGCCUGUUCUGUAAAGAGCUUCUGUUGUUGAGAAGCUAAGACUCUG
ensembl:lncRNA